rnacentral:sRNA from 1 species
GGCCGGGCGCGGUGGCUCACGCCUGUAAUCCCAGCACUUUGAGAGGCCAAGGUGGGCAGAUCACAAGGUCAGGAGAUCGAGACCAUCCUGGCCAACAUGGUGAAACCCUGUCUCUACUAAAAAUACAAAAAUUAGCUGGAUGUGGUGGCACGUGCCUGUAAUCCCAGCUACUGAGGAGGCUGAGGCAUGAGAAUCACUUGAACCCAGGAGGCGUAGGUUGCAGUGAGCCGAGAUCACACCACUGCACUCCAGCCUGGUGACAGAGCGAGACUCCAUCUCAAUAAAUAACCUUUCACUUUAACAAAAUGAGAAAUGUUACACCAAAAUCAAGUCUAACUUUGUCAGCAUAAUUCUUGCUCUUUAAUUUUCAUCUUAAUGUUUUAAGCCACAGACUGUUAUGUUCUGUUUUCUUAAAUGAUGGUUGUAGAGGAAAAGAGUAAUGCAUAUAAAUUUCCAAAUCUACUAUCUUAGGUGGUCGUCGGUUUUCUGAGGGUACUUCAGCUGACAGAGAGAUUCAGAGAACAUUAAUGGAGUUACUGAAUCAAAUGGAUGGAUUUGAUACUCUGCACAGAGUUAAAAUGAUCAUGGCUACAAACAGACCAGAUACACUGGAUCCUGCUUUGCUGCGUCCAGGAAGAUUAGAUAGAAAAA